GUGGUCACUUUGACAGCAUAUAUACUAAAAAUUGGAAUGAUACAGAGAAGAUUAACAUGGCCCCUAUGCAAGAAUGACAUACAAAUUCAUGAAGCAUUCCAUAUUUUA
ensembl:snRNA U6 U6 spliceosomal RNA